rnacentral:rRNA from 1 species
AUGCCGCCGCCCCAGCAGACGCCGGAGGAGGCUGCCCUGGCAGCGUACCAGGCGGCGUUCGGGUGGGCUGGCCCUGCUCCGGUCUUCAUCGACCUCACCGACGACGGCAGCGUCGAGGGCAAGGGCAAGGGCAAGGCCGACGACAGCUGGUACCCUGUUGCCAAGAUCGCGGCAGAAGCGGCGGCUCUAGAGUACGGGCGUGAAACUGGGCUCGACGUGGUGACACUAAACCCUGCAUUGGUGUUUGGUCCUCUGCUCCAGCCGACCGUCAAUGCGAGCAGCCAGUUCCUCAUCUACUUGCUCAAAGGAGGCCCUGAUCAGGUGAGGGACAAGCUCUGGCACAUCAUCGACGUCCGGGACGUCGCCGACGCGCUGCUCCUGCUCUACGAGACGCCCGGAGCCGCCGGCCGGCACAUCUGCGCGCCACACUUCAUCACCGUCCGGGAACUGUUGCGUCUGCUCAAGAGCAUGUACCCUGCGUACCCCUACAUAUCCGAGGAGGGCAUAUAUGACAUGGAUCACCCUGCUCCGAUGACCUCCGAAAAGCUGGAGAAGCUGGGGUGGAGCCACCGGCCGCUGAGGGAGACGAUAGCAGACACCGUCGAGUUCUGCCGGGAGGCCGGGUUUCUUGAGGGUGUCGAUGGUGAUGAUGCGCCCUGCCGCUUCCCACCUCUUUUCAACAAAAUCUAG